AAAACGACUCUCGGCAACGGAUAUCUCGGCUCUUGCAUCGAUGAAGAACGUAGCGAAAUGCGAUACCUGGUGUGAAUUGCAGAAUCCCGUGAACCAUCGAGUCUUUGAACGCAAGUUGCGCCCGAAGCCUUCUGGCCGAGGGCACGCCUGCCUGGGUGCCAUGC
rnacentral:rRNA from 1 species